AUUGAACGCUGGCGGAAUGCUUACACAUGCAAGUCGAACGGUAGAGGGGGCAACCCUCGAGAGUGGCGAACGGGUGAGUAAUAUAUCGGAACGUGCCCAGUCGUGGGGGAUAACGUAGCGAAAGUUACGCUAAUACCGCAUACGAUCUACGGAUGAAAGCGGGGGACCGUAAGGCCUCGCGCGAUUGGAGCGGCCGAUAUCAGAUUAGGUAGUUGGUGGGGUAAAGGCUCACCAAGCCAACGAUCUGUAGCUGGUCUGAGAGGACGACCAGCCACACUGGAACUGAGACACGGUCCAGACUCCUACGGGAGGCAGCAGUGGGGAAUUUUGGACAAUGGACGCAAGUCUGAUCCAGCCAUUCCGCGUGCAGGAUGAAGGCCCUCGGGUUGUAAACUGCUUUUGUACGGAACGAAAAGGUCUCUCUUAAUACGGGGGGGCUCAUGACGGUACCGUAAGAAUAAGCACCGGCUAACUACGUG
rnacentral:rRNA from 1 species